GUAGGGAAUAUUGGGCAAUGGUCGGAAGACUGACCCAGCCAUGCCGCGUGCAGGAAGACGGCCCUCUGGGUUGUAAACUGCUUUUAUCUGGGAAGAAAAAGGCCAUACGUGGCAAAUUGCCGGUACCAGAUGAAUAAGCACCGGCUAACUCCGUGCCAGCAGCCGCGGUAAUACGGAGGGUGCGAGCGUUGUCCGGAUUUAUUGGGUGUAAAGGGUUCGUAGGCGGCUGGGUAAGUCAGCGGUGAACGACUUCGGCUUAACCGGAGCAGUGCCGUUGAUACUGGUUGGCUUGAGUGUCGGAGGGGUACAUGGAAUUGAUGGUGUAGCGGUGAAAUGCAUAGAUACCAUCAGGAACACCGAUAGCGAAGGCAUUGUACUGGCCGACAACUGACGCUGAUGCACGAAAGUGUGGGGAUCGAACAGGAUUAGAAACCCGGGUAGUCC
rnacentral:rRNA from 1 species